CUGUGGUAUGCGCGCGCGGUCUGCUUCCGCCGCAGAGGGAUAGGCUAUAGCCGUGGCCACUUUAUGGUAGGAAGAGUUUCCGACGCUGCUUAAUGGUUUUUCUUAUGCAAUUACCGCGAUUUGACUUGUUCAUUAUCAUCGAAAUUCAAAUGCUUCCCAACGGCNUAGUACACAGAAUUUAAUGUGUUGUAGAUUUUAACAAUUAACGAUAAAACUUAUAAAAAGACUACAUGGAAGUCAUUACCAUAAGCGACCUGGAAGUAUUUCGAUGAAGAGAGCUUCGCCACCACACCCACAUAAUUUUAAUGAACAAGAAGUUUACAAUAAUUUUUUUCCGCAACUAUAUAUGCAGAGGUAUUUCAGCCGGAACGCCAUGUUUAAUUGUCUGCUGUUCCAUUGUGACGAGAAAUAAUUAACCAAUUGAAUCUGUCGAGAGAUACAACAAUAUAAAAUUUUCUCGACCACUCUGGUUUAUUUAUUAAACGCUUUGUAGGAGGAAAUGGAUUUUGCACCGCCGAUUUACCAAAAAUCGAACCCAAGGCACAGAGCACUUCUAAUGGGGAUUCUAUGUUAUAAAGAUAACAAAGUAAACUCAAUGAAAGUUUUCCAUAGAAUAUCAUGUGCGACGUAUUAUUAUUUAUUUUAUCGAUUUACUCUUUUUCAUCAUAUUUACUCUUUUUCAUCAUAUCAUAUUCGUAUAUGGUAUAUAUAUUUUUAUAUCCAAUACCAACGAAUAACAAUUCGUAUUGCAAUAGAUCACACUACCCUGCCAGUGCUUAAGGAUCAUAACUCAAAAAACUUGAAUCUUCUUUUUUUGUAAGGAAAUAGUUGAUUGAAUNGUAUAUUCAAUAUUUAUAUCCGUUAGAAAUAAAACUAUGAUGUUUAAUUAAAUAAAUCAGUAAUCGUUGUUUGUAUAAUCACCACACCGAUUGUCUUAAUGUAAUGUAAAAAUGGUUUAUUUAUAUACAUAAUUAAUUUUGUUAUUUAUCGGGUUGUUUAUUUAUUUUUAAUAUGCGGGACACACGUCGGACAUACACAAUUUCAAAUUUUUAUUUAUUGUGUCCAACUACGGUCUAUAUAUUGUUCUUUAAGUGGAUACAUCUUACCAACAAUAAAUAUUUAUGAUAUAAAGGAGGAUGGAAUGAAAGAUUAGUACUCUCCUAAUAAAUAAUAAUAUGAACUCGAUCGGAUCCACGCCAAUAAUAAUAAUAUUGUUAUACAAUAAUAUGAUAAUAUAUAAUAAUGAACGUGUUUCGUAUAUAC
rnacentral:lncRNA from 1 species